ensembl:lncRNA
CGAUUAUCAGUGUGUCAAAGUCGGAAAGACAGAAUUACAUUGGAUUGUCUGUCAGCGAUCUGAACUGUCUUGUCAAUUGCAAAGACAAACUCUUUUUCUCUGUCAGAGUUCCACAUCCUUCUGUAUACGUAUUGAAAAGGUUUCACACAGUUUCUGUGUGAAAGAAAUCAAUCUUAAGGGAGUAGAAAGGUCGAGGAAUUUUCUUUUCUGGAUGAAGUGUUAAGGGUGCCUUCCUUUCGCCAAGGUACUCACGAGCGAGUCUCAUUUCUACAGAGGCCACAAAAUUAUAAUAUCCCACUUUCACUUAGCAAGGUCACAGUCUGAUCAGUCUAAUCAUGUUUUACGCAAUGUUACAUACAGGUGUUUGUUCAAGUUAGUGUUAAAUAGCAUGGCCUUAGACUUUGGAUGUUGGUUAAUAACUUGUAUUUGGUUCAAAAGUUGGCACAGGAUGAAUGAGUGUCAUGUUGUUGUAAGCAUUCGUGUCAUUUUAAAGACUCUUUGGCCUGCACAGUAUCUAAAUAUGGUUUACUGGCAGCCCUGCAACUCUGAGGGAACACGGAGAGGAGUUUUGCACGUCAAAGUCUGAGGAAUUUGUUGACCAGAAUUAAUGGAGCAGAAACGAGUCCAUGUUCCUCGGCUAAGGUCAUGCUGUCAAAAGUUUAUCAAAUCGGGAAUGACGGAUAAGGGAGAGUGGAAUGUCUGCCCAGUCAAACUUUUUCACAAGUAGUAUGCUCAGUGCAUAUAUACCAGAAGGAGAGCGCGAUCUUUGCUUCAAUGGUGCAAUUGUAAAUUAUGUUAAAUGUUCAUUGGUGGGAAAUAUCCUCAAAGAGCAGUUACUAUUUAGUUCCUUUUUAUGCAGAUACUGUUAAUUAGUUUUGUUCCUCUGUUGUUUUUCAUAAGAUAAAUGUGUGCGAGUGUGCAGUGAGACUGCUUAACCAUAUUCUUCCAUCUGGCGAAGCAUUCAUUAAACAAAAAACUGUUGUGGCACUUAUGUAAUUUUAUGAAGAUACAACAUAAGGUGUUGGAAUAGGUGUAAUAUCAGUGUGGAAAGAGAGAAAAUAUUCGCUUGUACAUUCUACAUACACCAAAUUCAUAAUUGGGUAAUAUUCAGCAUGUUUUACUUGAGUAUUGAUAUGAAGAUGGAUACAGCAAGUUUGUCAUCUUUUUUUUUUUUUCCUUCAUUCUAUCAGUUUUCCCACAUGCACAUACAAAACCCAAAGAUUUGCUCCCUACAAUACAGGGGGUAUCCCCCCCCCCCAUCAUGAUUAAUAUGAUGAACAACCUUAAAUUAGAUCGGCCAUUUGCAAAUAUGCUAUUAUUUGACCCUGGAAUAUUACUGAAGUUCUUUGCCUCUUCAAUAUUCUGUGCUUAGUUGGUUUUACAAGGUGUAGAUCUGUGUUACUUGACCACACCCAUGCUUUUGGCAUGUUCUGUAGAGUAGGAACCAAACAACAUAUGGCUGAAAUGGUUCAUCUAAAUUUCAAAGCAAAAUUUAAGCUUGUUUACCACUGGAAUAUUUCUGCCAUAUCUUUUAUUUGUCUGGUUGGAUCUCCGUGAUACAGCAAACAACUUUGAGCCAUGAAAGUGGAAUAUUAACAGCAUGUUCCUGUUUUAUUGUGAAUGACCUUCCAGGUCUGCACAUAGUUUGUACGCCGUGUUCAUUUAAAAAAAAAAAGAAGAAGAGAUUUUCCAAGCAGCUGUAGUUGUAAAAAGAUUUCAGCAGGGAAUGUAAGUGGUUUUUUUUUGUUGUGGUUUUUUUUUAAAGCAUUACUUGAUCCACAAUUACAAUCAGUGUUCUAAGAACAGUUUUUCUCUUUGAGUGGCCUGAUGAAAAUGCGUGAUAAAAGGAAUCAGGGGCUUAUGUGAGGUUUAAUCUCUCAUUCCUCAGCUUUAUCUGUACCUUGCUUACAGUUAUUCCUGCUUGUGUGCACUUCAGUUACCCAGGCAACUCAGAUUUGAGUGUUUACAACCAAGUUGCUCAGUUUGUGGAGUAGUGUUAGUGCUGUAAAAGACUUUGUCAUAAUGAGUCAAAUAUUAAGGAUUUAGGGAUUGACUUAAGCAUUCAUUAAAUCAUUUGUUGGCUUGCAUAUGGAUCUUUUCCAUAUUCGUCAAAAAAAAAAAGAAGCCAUUUGCAGAGGCAAAAGCUGCCUUGGUGCAUCCAACAACCUAAUGAUCUGUGAAUAAUCCUGAAAAGCAUUAUUACUAUGAUAUUUACCUCAUCUAAUGUCUGCCUGUUUAUCUGAGUUAUCUUAUUACCACUUAACUCAUUACUUGGUCACUUUAGAAUUAUAUUGUUCUUUUGGCUAUCCAUAACCUCUUAAUGUCUUAUAAUUACUGGAGCGGUUCAAACAUAUUUAAUACUGUUUUAGGUGUUGUCAUUCCGCCUCCACGUGAGCCAAAGCCGCCUCAUUCAGGUCAGGGAGUCAUUCGGUUUUCAUUCUGAGAAAGCAGGUGGUGGCCUGUGAAUCUAGUUCAUACAAGUCUUGACCGCACCCUCACACAGUCUUUGCCUAGUCUCAAUUUCAUCCAGAGUUUAACACUUCUGCUAAUAGACUUCCAUCAACAUCAGACGUUCUUAAGUGUGUAUAUAUAUAAUAUAUAUUUAUACUAUUAUGCACAGGAAUGUUUAUGGGUUUACAUAAUGUAAAAUUUAACAGAUAUGAUUUUAAUUGGGCACUUGUGUUUUGAUAAAGCGAGGACCUAAUUUUAGCCGCUUUAGAAUAUCUACCCCAGAUUACACUGGUCAUGUUCUGAAUGGCUGCCUUGUUCAUGAGUGGAUUACACUAGAAAGAAGCUUGCAUUUUGUAAUGAGGAGCUGAAUUUCCAUUAAGAAAUCUACUGGAGUUGAAUGGAUUCUCCUGACACCUCCCCAUGCCUCAAAUCUUUUGAGAACACAUUACUACCAGGGAGUGCCGUGCAACAAGGGGAUUCAGUAUGAACUAACAUUAACAGCUGAUAUAGCUCUGAAAAGGCUACUAGAAAGCUCCGAGGACUCUAGAAUCGAUAUGACGAUGGUCAUACGGUUUUAAUGGGUAUCACAGUCCCAGAAGACCAGAUUAGAGCUGGUGUACAAAUUCACCACAAAUGAUCACAUCUGCACUGCACUGGUCUUUUGGGGGAGGGGUAGAGGGCACUCUGUGUUCUAAAGAAAAGUGGCUAUCCAUUGUCGGAGUGUUUCAAAUCACCCGCCAUCGGUCUUCGCAACAAUGGAGGGCCACGUUGUUUUAAAGAAUGGUGUCCAUGGUGAUGUGCUUGCAGGACAUGUGGACGUUGUGUAGUUAUGGCCUUCUUUGCAGUGCUGCUUUCCUUGUAACUGGUGUUAGCCAAGACGUAGAGACAUGUACAUGCCAAAAACUAAACGCAGUGAUUGUGCUUUUGAGGGCAGUAAAGACGGACACUUUCUGUGUUCCCAUUUCCUGAAGCUGUGCUGGUACACUGGAUUGGAUGAUGAGUUUUGUCAAUAAUCUCUCCCGUCUGCAUUCACUUGAUGGCACUGUGUGUGUGUCAUAGUGACUCAGCAUUUUACCUGUGGACAAGAGGGGCUUUAAUGGGUAGAAAGUGCGAGAGUGGAAGAAACGUAGAGCAGAGAUAGAGUGAAGGAGAAAAGGAUAUGUUCAGGCACAGGCCGAGCCCUGGUUCCACCCCGUGCAAUAGAUCUCUGUUGCAGGUGUGUUGGGAAUUUGGCUCACGCCAAAAAUGUGAUGAGGUAUGAAUGCGCUGUUGUCAUGGCCACCUCCCAUUUCCACCCUGUUCUUAGGGUAUAACAGCUGUGAUUUGCUUAGGCUUUGUAUUAUUCUGUUUAACAUUUAAGUUCUUUAGAAAGCUGUUCAAUGGUGUUCUUGCAAUGGUUUCUUUCUCUUCCUGCAAUAUUUCUUUCUUCUCCCCUUGACCUCCUUUUCCUCUUGAGUUGCUCCUGUAAUUUUGCUCCUGGUGGGAUUCCCCCCUUCAGCGCCACCAUUUCCUGCAGGAUGUCCACCAAUGAUGCCCCUGGUAAGGGGAGGUGGGAGAGAGAGACAGUGUGUGAGCCAGUGUUCAGACUGUAGUAUGAGAGAGACUUAGCUGGAUCUAGCACUCUCUGUGGGAGAUGUAACUAACAUUAUUGUUCAUCUCUGUGCUUUAUACUUCAACAUGAUACCAGUCAGUGUAGACUCUGAAAAUAAAUUGUUCAGUUUUCCUCAAAAUGGUGAUCUUUAUUUAAAAAGAAAUGUUGUGAAGCCGAGGGUUGUUUGGAUUCUCCAUCUUGCCUGGUAAACAAUUCAUUUCUAAUCAGUGAUGAAUUUUUGAUUUGAUGGAGAUGAACAGUGGCUGUGCAGAAUUGACAUAUUUACCUCUAGAGUUUGAUGACUUAAUUGUGACUGUCACUCCCACCUGCCUGUGUGAGUGAACAUGGUGGGACUGAAGUAGUGGAGUGUAAUUAAAGAUGGCAAGUUUCAUUACUGGUAGAUAGAAGGUAGUUGCAUGAUGAUGAGUUCGGGGGGGAUAUAGACAAGAAAAUAUUCUAUACAUGAGACUAAAGGCUUUGGAAAUGUUUGUGAAGCUUCUCACAUCUCUCAACCUAUGUUCACCAUAGCACGUGAUAGUUGGAGAUGAAUUGGUUUCUGUACAUGCACGAUCCAGAGCCAUGAUCUCAGUGACAGUGGCGAGCAACAUUUGAACUGAGAUUUUCUUAAUUCUAUGCAAACUAGAUACAGUGUGGUACAGCAGCAAAUCCAAAUGAUUGGACUGAACGAUCGAAUGAACUCGGACCAGUUAUUUUGUUUGUAGUCCGACGUUUCUUCAGCUUACUCAAAACCUUAGUUUCUAACUGCAGUUAAUUCCCAUUUACUGUUUGAUGUGCAAAAAUGAAGAAAAAAAAGUCAUGUAUGUCAUGUAAAUGUGUAGAGUGAUUAUGAAGAAAAAUAAAGCUUGUUAGGAAGUUGCAGAGAUUGUUAGUGUAUUUGGUGGGUGUACUUAACUUGUUUUGCUAAUCUUCCAAUGAAGCUAGUAUGAAGCCCAGCACUGAUUAGUGCAUUGUUUCAUUUGUGUUUAGGUAUAUUUAAUAAGUAUACCAAGUAUAUUUAAUUUGUGUUUAAGAAACUAGUCAUCUUAAGAAAGUAUAGAGAGCGUUGGGAGCCAUUUUCAAUGAAACAAACAAACAAAAAAAGUUGGACAUUGCACAAAUGACAACCGUAGUAGUCGCUACACGCCCACAAAAGAAAAAUGACAAGAGGCAUGAGCUACUCACUUCCCUUUAUAAAUGAUGCAGGGUCAGCCUAUGCAUCCCAUUCCAAACCCUAAAAGUAAAAUCUCCACUUUUCUGUUUUUUAGCGUGUACCCAGUCUGAGGAGUGAUAACUUGUCAGAAGCAAUUGGGCUGGUCUCAGAAUUUCAGGCGUCCUUUGACCACUGUGGUGUCCUUUAACACUGCCAGUGCCUUCUGCGCAAAUUUAGUGACCACAUGGGUGGAGUAGUUGCAUCAGCAUGGUAUAAAAACAACCUCUCAAGAGACCACAAUUUAAUCCAAUAAGUAGGACUAGGAAGGAUCUAUA